rnacentral:tRNA from 1 species
GGGCAAUGGCUCAGUGGUACAACAUCUGCUUUGCAUGCAGAAGGUCCCAGGUUCAAUCCCUUGCAUCUCCA